UGAGGCCUGUGAUGAUUUGAAGUUUUGCCUACAUUGCCCGAUUGUUACAUCUAUGACGGAUGGACUUGAAAUUCUGAGGCCACA